CACGCCCUCUGCCAGGGCAGUUCCCUUUGGUCGGGGCCUCAGUCCCAGAAAGACAAGGAUGUUGUUGGACUUCCCCUCCCUCAAGGCUUCAGAUGGAUUCAUGAGUCUCAGCACAUCUGCGGACAGGAGUGAGCUGCCCUGAGAAGGCAUGAUGCCAAGAAGGUGUGACCCUGAAGGAGCCGGUGUCUGGAGGCUGCCUGCUGACUGCACCCCCACAGCUGGGCACAACCCCUUUCCGGAAGAAAGGCUGGGGGACUCAUCUCUGCACUCACCACGGGCCACCCCUUGCAUCACUCCAGUUCACUUCACCUUCGCUCAAGGGGCAGUUCCUUCAGGGUCCCAGCAGGCCUCUCUUCCAGAAGGAAAACUUAGAGGAGGAAGACGAGCAGGAUGAACUUCAGUCCCCACUGCUGCAAUUAGGCUUGGAGACACAACAGAAGGCAGCCAUCUGAAACCAGGAAGCAGGCCCUCAGCAGACACGGAAGGUGCCAGCACCUUGAUCAUGGACUUCCCAACCUCCAGAACUCUGAGAAAUAAA